AUACUUACCUGGUAAGGGAGAUACCAUGAUUAUGAAGGUGGUUUUCCCAGUGUGAGGCUCAUUCAUUGCACUCUGGAUGUGCUGACCCCUGAGAUUUCUCCAAAUGUGGGAAACUUGACUACACAAUUUGUGGUAGUGAGGACUGCAUUCGCGCUUUCCCCU